UCUCUUACAAUAUAUUUCAAUUUCGACUUAAACUUUUGAUUAAUUUUAAUCUAAGAGAU
rnacentral:tRNA from 1 species